UACGGGGGGGGCAAGCGUUGUUCGGAAUUACUGGGCGUAAAGGGCUCGUAGGCGGCCAACUAAGUCAGACGUGAAAUCCCCAGGCUCAACCUGGGAACUGCGUCUGAUACUGGAUGGCUUGAAUCCGGGAGAGGGAUGCAGAAUUCCAGGUGUAGCGGUGAAAUGCGUAGAUAUCUGGAGGAAUACCGGUGGCGAAGGCAGCAUCCUGGACCGGCAUUGACGCUGAGGAGCGAAAGCCAGGGGAGCAAACGGG
rnacentral:rRNA from 1 species